rnacentral:tRNA from 2 species
GCCAUCUUAGCUCAGUCGGUAGAGCACUUGACUUGUAAUCAUGAGGUCCCCGGUUCGACUCCGAGAGAUGGCU